CUAGCGACUUCAGUAGUUUGAUCCGUGGCUCGAGGACGAACGCUGGCGGCGUGCCUAACACAUGCAAGUCGAGCGGGGAUUGAGGAGAGCUUGCUCAAAUCAAUUCUAGCGGCGGACGGGUGAGUAACGCGUGAGCAACCUGCCUAUCACAGGGGAAUAACGCACCGAAAGGUGUGCUAAUACCGCAUGAGACCACAGGACCGCAUGGUCAAGGGGUCAAAGAUUUAUCGGUGAUAGAUGGGCUCGCGUCUGAUUAGCUAGUUGGUGAGGUAACGGCCCACCAAGGCGACGAUCAGUAGCCGACCUGAGAGGGUGAUCGGCCACAUUGGAACUGAGAAACGGUCCAA
rnacentral:rRNA from 1 species